AUAAUAAAUAUAAAUAGCACCGUUGGACAGGUGUCUCAUAAAACCUUUUUUUCUGUACAUUUCUUCCAUCACCACCAAACGCGAGACUGCGCUUCGACUCGACUCUUUCGUAGCUAAAACAGUACGGCUCUCACACAAAGAAACGGCCUGACAAUCUUGUGCUCAGACCCAAAAGAUGCUUCUCCCAACCGGCUAGGUCUGCGAUCAAAAUGUUGCUGGUCUGUCCAUCCGCGCCUAACAUAGCCGCAGAGUUCCAAAGGGCACACAAAGACGAUAUUGGUUGCUGAUCUUGAUAAUAGCUACAGCUGGUGUUUGGACAGUUGGAAUCUUACGAAUGCCAAGUCAGAGCGUCUGUGAUGCAGCGCAUUGUCGUUGGUUUGCUGUCCGGUUUCAUAACAGAACCGGAUCGUUUUAUUAUCUGCUUUGGUGUUAAGAUUCUAGUUUAUCUUUAGGAUAUUUCCUUUUCUUUUGGAGUAGAUAACUCCUAGCUUAGUCGGUUUUAGGAUUAGUUUUAUCUCUUUAUAUAGUUUGCAACCUCUGAUGUAAAUCUCACGCUUUAAAGAAUAAUCAAAAGAACUUUCAGUUCAUCUUUC